rnacentral:sRNA from 1 species
CUGUCCUGGAACUCGCUCUGUGGACCAGGCUGACCUUAAACUCACAGAGAUCCACCUACCUCUGCCUUCUCUGCUGCAGCUACAGACAUAUAUGCCACCACCGCCCUGCUCGCUCUGCUUUUGACUGUCGACUCAAUCAAUGUGACCAGCUCUCUCAAGUUCCUGGAUCUAUGACUCCCCCCAGGUGAUGGGCUGUCACCAGAAAUUGUGAACUGAGAAACUCUGACUCCACAGUUGCUUUUUAUCAGGUAACAGAAAUGAAACUAAAACCUUGCUACUUGCCAGAAGGAAGUCUGAAAAGCACAUGUAUCAAGAAAUCAACGUCUAGAAGAGAGCAGUAUCAGGUCUUUGGCUGUGUCUCCUCUAAGCCUCACCAUCUACACCUUCGCAAGAUCCUCACCAAUCCUUCAACCCUAUAUAGACAUCGGUGUUUCCCAAGAGCACUGAGCAGCUCCGGUCUGAAUCAUCCUCCAUGCGCUUUAUUAUAUAUGCAGGUUACGAGCAUGUUGGCUCAGUUCCUGACCCACUCAACGGGUUUUAGUUGCUCAAGGGCAGAUUGCAAUAAAACUCAUCUUGCCACUUGGACCCAGUGCUGUGUUUCACCCUCAAGACAAGCUUUGAGUCAUUGCUUGAACUCUCUGCCCCGAACACCCUUUCCUAGGUGGCACCAAAGGAAGAACCUACAAGCUAUCCUCUGUCAGAACCAAGAUAAAAAUCUCGAUCUUGCCGAGCAUCAGUGGACACCUAGAGUAGACAUGUAAGUAUGGCAAAGGGCUUUCCGGUGCUUGGCCCAGCGUGCAAAGGAUCUGAAGGUGCUGCUACAUGGAUUGCUGCUUUUUAGUCACACAAGUGUCCAUGCACACAUAUAAACACAUGUACAUAAACACAUGUGUAAUUUGUAAAAUACAAAACCAUUUCAAGUCA